CUUAUAAGUGUUACUAGGUUGAUUUUGACUUUAACGCAGUCAUUAAUUAUUAGUGCACCAUACGUAUGUUUAGGUCAAGCGUUGUGUGAUAAGUUUGAAAAAUUCUACGACAAGGUAUUAAAUUUUCCCUGGACUUACUGGAACAUAAAUAAUAGGAAAACUUAUAUAAUUGUGGUGCUUUGUACACAAAAGAUCCAGGGUAUAACUUUUUCCAAUUUAAUAAACGUCGACUUUAGAUUAGCCAGUCAGAUGUUAUCAAGAAUUUAUGGACUGCUGUCGUUUUUGAAGAACGUUGGAAAUUCUUGCUGAAAC